AUUGAACUCUGGCGGAAUGCUUUACACAUGCAAGUCGAACGGCAGCACGGGGGCAGCCCUGGUGGCGAGUGGCGAACGGGUGAGUAAUACAUCGGAACGUGCCCGGUCGUGGGGGAUAACGUAGCGAAAGUUACGCUAAUACCGCAUACGAUCUGAGGAUGAAAGCGGGGGACCUUCGGGCCUCGCGCGAUCGGAGCGGCCGAUGUCAGAUUAGGUAGUUGGUGGGGUAAAGGCCUACCAAGCCGACGAUCUGUAGCUGGUCUGAGAGGACGACCAGCCACACUGGGACUGAGACACGGCCCAGACUCCUACGGGAGGCAGCAGUGGGGAAUUUUGGACAAUGGGCGCAAGCCUGAUCCAGCCAUUCCGCGUGCAGGACGAAGGCCUUCGGGUUGUAAACUGCUUUUGUACGGAACGAAAAGGCUCUGGCUAAUACCUGGGGCUCAUGACGGUACCGUAAGAAUAAGCACCGGCUAACUACGUG
rnacentral:rRNA from 1 species